GUGUGCCGAGCCACAUGCUCAUCGAGCCCGAUGCGUGAUUUGAACGCUUUGGCGCAUCCUUCGAACGUACACUUGAACGGUGCCAGCCGCAGUGGUGGUGCUGCUGGUGGCAACGCCCGCUGCGUCCGACUCGUCAAAGUCAACCAUUGAGAAAUAGGAAUCGCUAGGUUGAAGGCCCGAAAUUUCACUACACUGUACGUCGCCGGAGAUUUGUUGCGGAGAGGGAAGUUCUUCUGCUGAUUGUAACUGCUUCUCUGCUGUGGCAUUAUAGACGUCCGCGAUUAUUUCCUGCACGUGCGCUUCGGACAAUGACUGAAAAAGGCGUACUGUGUUUUACGAAACUCCUAGGCAUGGUGAUGGUGGCUUCGAAAUGUGAUAUGAAGCACGCAAAGUUUUCAAUGCAACCAAACAUUUGCAUAUAUACUUUUUGAAGGUUAGACACGGGCGGUUCAAACAAGACUGUAUCCAAUAUCAUCUCAAAAGGCAUUAUUCGCGAAAAGGAGAUCUAUUUUAACACAAUUGAUACAAAUACAGAUGAAAAGAUGGAACAUAAAUAAAUCAUUUUACCUCAUAUCUUACCUA